rnacentral:rRNA from 1 species
UGAAUAUGGGGGGACCAUCCUCCAAGGCUAAAUACUCCUGACUGACCGAUAGUGAACCAGUACCGUGAGGGAAAGGCGAAAAGAACCCCGGCGAGGGGAGUGAAAAAGAACCUGAAACCGUGUACGUACAAGCAGUGGGAGCCUCUUAAUGGGGUGACUGCGUACCUUUUGUAUAAUGGGUCAGCGACUUAUAUUCUGUAGCAAGGUUAACCGAAUAGGGGAGCCGAAGGGAAACCGAGUCUUAACUGGGCGUUAAGUUGCAGGGUAUAGACCCGAAACCCGGUGAUCUAGCCAUGGGCAGGUUGAAGGUUGGGUAACACUAACUGGAGGACCGAACCGACUAAUGUUGAAAAAUUAGCGGAUGACUUGUGGCUGGGGGUGAAAGGCCAAUCAAACCGGGAGAUAGCUGGUUCUCCCCGAAAGCUAUUUAGGUAGCGCCUCGUGAAUUCAUCUCCGGGGGUAGAGCACUGUUUCGGCAAGGGGGUCAUCCCGACUUACCAACCCGAUGCAAACUGCGAAUACCGGAGAAUGUUAUCACGGGAGACACACGGCGGGUGCUAACGUCCGUCGUGAAGAGGGAAACAACCCAGACCGCCAGCUAAGGUCCCAAAGUCAUGGUUAAGUGGGAAACGAUGUGGGAAGGCCCAGACAGCCAGGAUGUUGGCUUAGAAGCAGCCAUCAUUUAAAGAAAGCGUAAUAGCUCACUGGUCGAGUCGGCCUGCGCGGAAGAUGUAACGGGGCUAAACCAUGCACCGAAGCUGCGGCAGCGACACUAUGUGUUGUUGGGUAGGGGAGCGUUCUGUAAGCCUGUGAAGGUGGCCUGUGAGGGUUGCUGGAGGUAUCAGAAGUGCGAAUGCUGACAUAAGUAACGAUAAAGCGGGUGAAAAGCCCGCUCGCCGGAAGACCAAGGGUUCCUGUCCAACGUUAAUCGGGGCAGGGUGAGUCGACCCCUAAGGCGAGGCCGAAAGGCGUAGUCGAUGGGAAACAGGUUAAUAUUCCUGUACUUGGUGUUACUGCGAAGGGGGGACGGAGAAGGCUAUGUUGGCCGGGCGACGGUUGUCCCGGUUUAAGCGUGUAGGCUGGUUUUCCAGGCAAAUCCGGAAAACCAAGGCUGAGGCGUGAUGACGAGGCACUACGGUGCUGAAGCGACAAAUGCCCUGCUUCCAGGAAAAGCCUCUAAGCAUCAGGUAACAUCAAAUCGUACCCCAAACCGACACAGGUGGUCAGGUAGAGAAUACCAAGGCGCUUGAGAGAACUCGGGUGAAGGAACUAGGCAAAAUGGUGCCGUAACUUCGGGAGAAGGCACGCUGAUAUGUAGGUGAAGCGACUUGCUCGUGGAGCUGAAAUCAGUCGAAGAUACCAGCUGGCUGCAACUGUUUAUUAAAAACACAGCACUGUGCAAACACGAAAGUGGACGUAUACGGUGUGACGCCUGCCCGGUGCCGGAAGGUUAAUUGAUGGGGUUAGCGGCAACGCGAAGCUCUUGAUCGAAGCCCCGGUAAACGGCGGCCGUAACUAUAACGGUCCUAAGGUAGCGAAAUUCCUUGUCGGGUAAGUUCCGACCUGCACGAAUGGCGUAAUGAUGGCCAGGCUGUCUCCACCCGAGACUCAGUGAAAUUGAACUCGCUGUGAAGAUGCAGUGUACCCGCGGCAAGACGGAAAGACCCCGUGAACCUUUACUAUAGCUUGACACUGAACAUUGAGCCUUGAUGUGUAGGAUAGGUGGGAGGCUUUGAAGUGUGGACGCCAGUCUGCAUGGAGCCGACCUUGAAAUACCACCCUUUAAUGUUUGAUGUUCUAACGUUGGCCCCUAAUCGGGGUUGCGGACAGUGUCUGGUGGGUAGUUUGACUGGGGCGGUCUCCUCCUAAAGAGUAACGGAGGAGCACGAAGGUUGGCUAAUCCUGGUCGGACAUCAGGAGGUUAGUGCAAUGGCAUAAGCCAGCUUGACUGCGAGCGUGACGGCGCGAGCAGGUGCGAAAGCAGGUCAUAGUGAUCCGGUGGUUCUGAAUGGAAGGGCCAUCGCUCAACGGAUAAAAGGUACUCCGGGGAUAACAGGCUGAUACCGCCCAAGAGUUCAUAUCGACGGCGGUGUUUGGCACCUCGAUGUCGGCUCAUCACAUCCUGGGGCUGAAGUAGGUCCCAAGGGUAUGGCUGUUCGCCAUUUAAAGUGGUACGCGAGCUGGGUUUAGAACGUCGUGAGACAGUUCGGUCCCUAUCUGCCGUGGGCGCUGGAGAACUGAGGGGGGCUGCUCCUAGUACGAGAGGACCGGAGUGGACGCAUCACUGGUGUUCGGGUUGUCAUGCCAAUGGCACUGCCCGGUAGCUAAAUGCGGAAGAGAUAAGUGCUGAAAGCAUCUAAGCACGAAACUUGCCCCGAGAUGAGUUCUCCCUGAGACUUAGAGUCUCCUGAAGGAACGUUGAAGACGACGACGUUGAUAGGCCGGGUGUGUAAGCGCAGCGAUGCGUUGAGCUAACCGGUACUAAUGAACCGUGAGGCUUAACCUUACAACGCCGAAG